rnacentral:misc_RNA from 1 species
UACGUAGGGGGCGAGCGUUGUCCGGAAUCAUUGGGCGUAAAGCGCGUGUAGGCGGGCCGGAAGGUCUGGUGUGAUAGCCCGGGGCUCAACCCCGGAGGGUCACUGGAAACCAACGGCCUUGAGUCCGGAAGAGGAGAGUGGAAUUCCUGGUGUAGCGGUGGAAUGCGCAGAUAUCAGGAGGAACACCAAUGGCGAAGGCAGCUCUCUGGUACGUGACUGACGCUGAGGAGCGAAAGCGUGGGGAGCAAACAGG